rnacentral:rRNA from 1 species
GGUUGCGGCCAUACCAUGCAGGAAGCACGUUAGUUAAGCUGCAUAGGGCCACACUGAGUAGUGUAGUGGGAGACCAUAUGCGAAAUUGUGGUGCUGCAAUCU